rnacentral:rRNA from 1 species
AGGACGAACGCUGGCGGCGUGCUUAACACAUGCAAGUCGAGCGGUAAGGCCUUUCGGGGUACACGAGCGGCGAACGGGUGAGUAACACGUGGGUGAUCUGCCCUGCACUUCGGGAUAAGCCUGGGAAACUGGGUCUAAUACCGGAUAUGACCUCCUAUCGCAUGGUGGGUGGUGGAAAGAUUUAUCGGUGCAGGAUGGGCCCGCGGCCUAUCAGCUUGGUUGGUGGGUAAUGGCCUACCAAGGCGACGACGGGUAGCCGACCUGAGACGGGUGACCGGCCACGACGUGGGACUGAGACACGGCCCAGACUCCGACGGGAGCAGCAGUGGGAAUAUGCACAAGUGGGACGAAGCCUGAUGCAGCGACGCCGCGUGGAGGAUGACGGUCCGUUACGGGUUACGUAAACCGUUCUUUCGAGUCGAAGGACGUAUAAGU